rnacentral:rRNA from 1 species
GGUUUCCGUAGGUGAACCUGCGGAAGGAUCAUUAAUGAAAUUAUAAUCCGGCGAGGGGAAAGGCGGAGAGUUGUAGCUGGCCUCUAGGGGCAUGUGCACGCUCUCUUCCGGACCUUUCGCCGUAUGGGCGCGGGGCGACCCGCGUCUUCAUAUACCUCUUCGUGUAGAAAGUCUUUGAAUGUUUUACCAUCAUCGAGUCGCGACUUCUAGGAGACGCGAUUCUUUGAGAAAAAAGUUAUUACAACUUUCAGCAACGGAUCUCUUGGCUCUCGCAUCGAUGAAGAACGCAGCGAAUCGCGAUAUGUAAUGUGAAUUGCAGAUCUACAGUGAAUCAUCGAAUCUUUGAACGCACCUUGCGCUCCUCGGUGUUCCGAGGAGCAUGCCUGUUUGAGUGUCAGUAAAUUCUCAACCCCUCUCGAUUUGCUUCGAGCGGGUGCUUGGAUGUUGGGGGCUGCCGGAGACACUGGAUUCGUCCAGGACUCGGGCUCCUCUUAAAUGAAUCGGCUCGCGGUCGACUUUCGACUUUGCAUGACAAGGCCUUUGGCGUGAUAAUGAUCGCCGUUCGCCGAAGUGCAAGACAGAAUGGUCCCGUGCCUCUAAUGCGUCGACGCCUCUAGGGGCGUCUUCCUCAUUGACGUUUGACCUCAAAUCAGGUAGGACUACCCGC